AAGGUGACCCGUGCAGCUGGUUCGCCCCGUCCGCCAGACGGGAUGCGUCGCAAGAGGGAACCCGGUGGGAAUCCGGGACUGCCCCGCAGCGGUGAGCGGGAACGACCGCCGUCAUACGCACUGGGCCCGACGAACAGGGCCUGGGAAGCGACGGCCAUUAGGUGUCUCGUACGACGUCGUACGACGAGACGGGCCCGCGAGUCCGAAGACCUGCCAACUGCCCGUGCGCGAA
rnacentral:ncRNA from 2 species